AGGUGUGCAAAUGCAAAUAUUCUGCGAAAAUUAAAUGUUUCAAUGCAGUAGGUACAUUUCAAUCUAUUGCGAGUCCCAGGGCAAGACAUAGGUAUAUAAAAUUCACACGACAAUUAACGUGUUAACAGUUUAAAAAUCUCUGAAAGCCACCUGAACAAAAUCAAAAUGGCUCUGUGGAAUGGAUUCUCACCGUGUUCAGAGUGAAAAUAUCCGAAGCUGAGUCAUCGGAAGAGCGGGCCACGCGCUGCUCUCGUUGGAGGGGAUUCGAAGAACAAGCGGACCGCCGCUACGCGGGAAUGUAUUCCGAAUGUUUCCCUCGUAAUCGUCUGUUUGUAGGUACGUCCGUGGAUCGUCUGGGGUUGGCAAAGGGUGGUGGAACGGGGCCAGGAGAAAUGGAAGGAGAGGACAGCUUCUUGCGUUGCAUGUUUGUCGUCGAAUCCGCCGCGUGAUUGACGGACGUUAGCGAGAGACGAGGGCUGCCUCUCUGUAUCGUGACAUCCUCUGAUCCGAUGUUUAUCUUGCACCGCUACGAGCUCGUUCCUGUUGUUCUCCAAAAGUAGGAGCUUGGCAUACUAAGCAAAGAAUAUUUUCUGAUAACUGUCCACUUCUAUCGAUCCAUACCAAAGCAUCAAAUCUCAUCGGCGAGUUGCGGAAGCACAAAAACGGAAAGAUCGGGUUGCCCUCUUUUUUGGCACGUGCACAUGCAACGCGAGUGUCGCGUCCUAGGAAUCUCCCACGAGAGUGCGGCCGGAUUCCUUCGCAAUCGGAUAACCGCUUGCGAUGCCUGUCCCGCGCGAUCAACGUUAUUGACGAACCCGAACGCAGGUAAUAAGAGGAUCGUCCUAUCGUGCAGACUUCGAUCAGGUUAAUCGAACGUCCAUUGUGACGUUACCGGCGGAUUCUCUUAGUUCUCGCGUUGUUUUUGUGGGAAUAUUUUCGUAGACAUUUGUAUUGUGAGAAUAGGAAAUUGAAAAUAUAUGGUCAAUCGUAAUUUUGGGUGGAAUAUUCUGUAACUUGCAGAUUUUAAAACCCAAGUUUAUAUUGAGGGACGAAAUAAAACUUGCUUACAAAUAGUAUGUCUACACUACUGUGUUUAUUAUCGCAUUUACAUAUUAAUCAAUUAGGCCUAUAUUAAAUUCUGUAUCAUGUGGUAUAGUAUGUUUGUAUGAUCACAAAAGCUUCACAGUAUGAGACACGUGGAAUUUGAUGAAAAAAGGCUUCGUUAGAAAAUAACAGUAUGUACAAACACUUUCUGCGGUCAUUGUAUAUGUAAAAGGAAAUUGAAAUUUAGUGAAAAAUUAGAGUACAAGAUUACAGUUCCCCUGUUGCUAGAAAAGACGUAUUUCCAGAAGCAGAAAAUAAAUUCCUAAUAAGAUUUCCUUAUCAGUUACGAAAUGAAAUAUUUGUAGGGAAGCAAUGGGUGUUCUCGCUGGAAGAAUCUUAUCUGGUAUAUAAAUAAAGAGAUAUUUCUCCACAGUAUGAUCUAUCAUACGUUUUACAUUACGAAAAGAGUAUUCAAAUGUUCCAGCUAACAGGUACAUCAUAUUUCAAUUUUCAUGCGACAAGAAUCCAUUGUGAUUUCUAACAUAUUACUUACAACGGAUCCAUGGCAUUUCGAGCGUGUCUCACCUUUCCUCUACGAAAGAACGACGAACGAGGCGACGUUCAAUUAACAAAGAUCGUCUGGAUGGUCGAUCAUUUAUUUUCCCUUGUUAGAAAAAUCCUUCUCCACCCGGCAAAGUUCGAAAUGUCACGGCUUGAAACGUUUCGAUCGCGACCAGCUGCGUUCAUGGAAGUAUCGUUGCGAAAAUGGAAAAAAGCAUUCGUUGCGAGAGAGAGAGAGAGAGAGAGAGAAAGAGAGGAUUGCAACACUGUCGGCAGGAAUCGAUGUCCUUUCAACGGAUGGUGGAUGUACCAUCGCUUGUAAUUUGCGCCCACGCGGUGUAAUCGAUGCGGCUCGUGCGUUUCAGUCGAACAUGCACCGCCGAUGCUAUCGAGUUCACAGUCGAAGAAAUGCGGCGAAUUAAAUUCUAGGUAGUUGUUACAUUCGAUACUUUUCUCUAUAAAUUGCCGAUUUUUCAAGCUGCAAAGUAGGUACAUCUUUUCAUUAAUUUCAAUGAGAAUAAUUACGUUUUUUCAAGGAAAUUCGGAUACUAGUAAUUUAAUUUUAUUUUAAUUAUUAGGAUUAUUAGAAUCGUUUGAAUUAUCAGGA